UACUUCUUUGCUUGCAAUUGAAUUAGGGUUCUUGAGAGAGCCCAGAUUAGGGUAAUAAAGAGGCGAGAUGUAAGACAGUGGUUAGGUAUUGGGGUUAGGGUUUGUUGGGCAGAAAGAAGAGGCUAAUGGGGAAGA